rnacentral:rRNA from 1 species
UGGAUCCAGACUUUGAUCAUGGCUCAGGACGAACGCUGGCGGCACGCUUAACACAUGCAAGUCGAACGGAGAAUUAAGAGCUUGCUUUUAAUUCUUAGUGGCGGACGGGUGAGUAACACGUGAGGAACCUGCCUCUGAGUGUGGGAUAGCUUCUGGAAACGGAUGGUAAUACCGCAUAACAUUGUUGAAUCGCAUGGUAUAACAAUCAAAGAUUUAUUGCUCAGAGAUGGUCUCGCGUCUGAUUAGAUAGUUGGUGAGGUAACGGCUCACCAAGUCGACGAUCAGUAGCCGGACUGAGAGGUUGGACGGCCACAUUGGGACUGAGACACGGCCCAGACUCCUACGGGAGGCAGCAGUGGGGAAUAUUGCACAAUGGGGGAAACCCUGAUGCAGCGAUGCCGCGUGGAGGAAGAAGGUUUUCGGAUUGUAAACUCCUGUCGUAAGGGACGAUAAUGACGGUACCUUACAAGAAAGCUCCGGCUAACUACGUGCCAGCAGCCGCGGUAAUACGUAGGGAGCGAGCGUUGUCCGGAAUUACUGGGUGUAAAGGGAGCGUAGGCGGGACGGCAAGUCAGAUGUGAAAUAUACGUGCUCAACAUGUAGACUGCAUUUGAAACUGUCGUUCUUGAGUGAGGUAGAGGUAAGCGGAAUUCCUGGUGUAGCGGUGAAAUGCGUAGAGAUCAGGAGGAACAUCGGUGGCGAAGGCGGCUUACUGGGCCUUUACUGACGCUGAGGCUCGAAAGCGUGGGGAGCAAACAGGAUUAGAUACCCUGGUAGUCCACGCCGUAAACGAUGAUUACUAGGUGUGGGGGGACUGACCCCUUCCGUGCCGCAGUUAACACAAUAAGUAAUCCACCUGGGGAGUACGACCGCAAGGUUGCAACUCAAAUGAAUUGACGGA